UCGAGCAUUGGUCAAUUAUCCCCAGCACUCAUCUUGUCAUCUCAUUUUUGCCUUUUUUCAAAUACCUACAAGCUUCACUCUGUGUAUAUAUGAAGUCAGUUUUAUUUUAUAAAUGAAGGGAAAAGGCACAUUAUACCUUUUGCGUUUUGUUUUCCUGCAAAAAAAAUAAAGUUGGCACAUAUGCAUAGAUGAGCAGGUCGGCCCUGCAUUCUGAUUUUGAGCUAAUCGCAUCAGUUUGCUUCAUUGUCCA
rnacentral:misc_RNA from 1 species